UGAGGGGUGGCUCAAGUGGUAGAGCACUUGCUUGGCAAGUUUAAGGCCCUGAGUUCAAACCUCAGUGCUACAA
rnacentral:tRNA from 1 species